ACCGCGUGCGAAAUCGAAUCAAUAAUUUAAUGCAGGUGAUGCCUCCGGCUCCUUUUCCCUUUUCAGACAUCAGCCCACAGGCACGACAACCCUGGUCAGCUACUGCUUUUGUCAUUUUUUCAUUCUGUCGUUUUGGCCAUUGCCAAGUUAACGCCAUGUUGACACUGACACUGACUCUAACGUACGUAAUAAUGUCUCAACCAUCUCAGCCAUCGACUUGGCUUGUUUCACGCUUAUUAAAGUCCAAUGGGGAGGCGGGGGAGUAUGGGUCACUUUUCUCGAUUUUUAUUUGUAUUGUGGCUUAAUCUGAAUGAAAAGUUUUUCCAUUCGCGCGGCUUGAGACGACUACCCAACGAUAUAUUACACUCGUAUGUGUAUCGUACAAAGUGGGAUAAUGGAAAGCGAAUCUUGGAAAGAUAUACUCGUAUGAAUAUAUGGAAAGUGCAUCUUCAUAAUUGAGAGAUAGAAUCUAUUGCGAUAUAUUAUAUAUACAAAUGUUAUAUAUAUAAAACGAGGGGGAAGGUUGUGAAUUGCUGCUGCGACCGCAACUCUACAUUUAUACCCGAUAUAUAGUCAAUAUGGCUUUCCUCCGGCAGACGACGCUGACAUUGAAUGACAAAGAGACCGUGAGGGAGAGACAGAAAAACAGUUAGAAAGUGUCGUCGCUAGAAAGUGCAUUGCCACAUCAAUUUUAUUUGUUCCUUUUGGGUAUAAUAUUAAUCCGAUCUGAUCCACAUGCGGAAUUCUGCUAGAUAUAUUCAUUCUCCAUGAUUUUGCUUUCUUAAUGGGGCGGAAGAAGGCGUGGCAAAACUGGAUCAGUGUGAUAUCACAGAAGUCUCUGAGAACUAGGCGUCAAAGAAAACUGAAAAUGCAGAAUCAUGAAAAUGAAUACAUCUACAAUAAUGCUGAAUAUUGAUCAGAUCAGAUUUACCUACGCUCUCUUCUGUACAACACAUACUCCUCCUCAUAUAGUGUGCGCGCUCUGUAUGCACAUGUCGGAGGGGAGCGAGGUAGAACGGCUGGUGUUGAUGUGAAAAUAGAGAUAAAGAGACAGAAGUAAAAAGCACUAUAUCGGGUAUAAAUGCUCACAACA